GACGAACGCUGGCGGUGUGCUUAACACAUGCAAGUGGUGCGACGAACCAGAGCUUGCUCUGGGGCAAAGCCGCGAACGGGUGAGUAACACGUGGGUAAUCUACCCCGAUGACCGGGACAACCCGAGGAAACUCGGGCUAAUACCGGAUGUGGUACGGAGACAUAAGUCUCUUUACUAAAGGUAGCUUCGGCUUCCGCAUUGGGAGGGGCCCGCGGCCCAUUAGCUAGUUGGUGGGGUCAAGGCCUACCAAGGCAACGAUGGGGUAGCUGGUCUGAGAGGACGAUCAGCCACACUGGGACUGAGACACGGCCCAGACCCUACGGAGG
rnacentral:rRNA from 1 species